AACGAACGCUGGCGGCAUGCCUAACACAUGCAAGUCGAACGAUCCCUUCGGGGAUAGUGGCGCACGGGUGCGUAACGCGUGGGAACCUGCCCUUAGGUUCGGAAUAACUCAGAGAAAUUUGAGCUAAUACCGGAUAAUGUCUUCGGACCAAAGAUUUAUCGCCUUUGGAUGGGCCCGCGUUGGAUUAGCUAGUUGGUGGGGUAAAGGCCUACCAAGGCGACGAUCCAUAGCUGGUCUGAGAGGAUGAUCAGCCACACUGGGACUGAGACACGGCCCAGACUCCUACGGGAGGCAGCAGUGGGGAAUAUUGGACAAUGGGCGAAAGCCUGAUCCAGCAAUGCCGCGUGAGUGAUGAAGGCCUUAGGGUGGUAAAGCUCUUUUACCCGGGAUGAUAAUGACAGUACCGGGAGAAUAAGCCCCGGCUAACUCCGU
rnacentral:rRNA from 1 species